rnacentral:lncRNA from 1 species
GCAUUGUCAUACGCAUCCCGACGAAUUUCAUUCAAUUCACUUAAUUGUAAUUUUCUAGCGAAACCAGCAUCUGACAGUUCAAAGUUUAAUUUUCUAAUGGCCCAAUACGAUUUAUGCUCUAUUUCAACAGGUAGAUGACAUGCUUUUCCAUAGACUAGCCGAUACGGGGACAUACCAAGAAUAGUUUUAUAAGCAGUACGGUAAGCCCACAAUGCGUCAGAAA